rnacentral:rRNA from 1 species
GAUGAACGCUGGCGGCGUGCCUAAUACAUGCAAGUCGAGCGAACAGACGAGGAGCUUGCUCCUCUGACGUUAGCGGCGGACGGGUGAGUAACACGUGGAUAACCUACCUAUAAGACUGGGAUAACUUCGGGAAACCGGAGCUAAUACCGGAUAAUAUAUUGAACCGCAUGGUUCAAUAGUGAAAGACGGCUUUGCUGUCACUUAUAGAUGGAUCCGCGCCGCAUUAGCUAGUUGGUAAGGUAACGGCUUACCAAGGCAACGAUGCGUAGCCGACCUGAGAGGGUGAUCGGCCACACUGGAACUGAGACACGGUCCAGACUCCUACGGGAGGCAGCAGUAGGGAAUCUUCCGCAAUGGGCGAAAGCUUGACGGAGCAACGCCGCGUGAGUGAUGAAGGUCUUCGGAUCGUAAAACUCUGUUAUUAGGGAAGAACAAAUGUGUAAGUAACUAUGCACGUCUUGACGGUACCUAAUCAGAAAGCCACGGCUAACUACGU